ensembl:lncRNA
ACGAGAAAUGCUUUGUGAUGGGAAUUGUGUGUUUCUGAGAGCUGUAACCAGCCCUCCACCGCCUGUAGACAAGAAGGACAGUUUCAGGUUCAGUUGACACUGGAUUGCCGGAGGGUUGGAAAUGCACAGGGUCAGAGCUGGUAUGCUCCACAGUGUCUUCACAUGGACUUGCCUGGAACAUUCCAGACCUCCGCGGCUUCCGUACAUUCAGAAAGCAAGAAUCGUGCACUAACUCCUGUUCAUUCUUGGAUGUUGAAAAGUCUGCAGUGUUGACGGGCCCAUUUUCACCAGCAAAAGUGUUGACCCUGGCUUGUCUAGUGGGUGGUCCCCCGCUCCAGACCCCGCUGUCCCAGUAAUUCGGGUCUGGAUUGGCUCCACCGUGAGCUACGCACGCCUCAUGCUUUCGCAGUGCAUGGUACAGCUGCUUGAACACAGGCGCUUAGUACACGUGUGACCAGAUUUGCAGAAAGACAGUCGGCAGUGGCCCAAAGAGGAUCCUGUUCAUCAGAAGUCACCUCCGAGUGGCCCACCAAGUGUCCAGUACUCAGGUGCAGGGCGCCCUUCGUUGCAGACUUGAAGGUCACCUGCAUGCUUUUUCUCCAUGUUAGAGCACAGAGCACCAUAAAGAAGAGCAACAGAUACUUGUGGGGUCCCAUCCAGGAUGCUGGGAGUCUCCUGCAGGCCAUGUAUCACCUGCUGAGUCACCUGCUCAAAUGCUGACCACGGCGUCUCCCCAUCUUCCUGAGUCCCUGUUCUCCUGAAAUACUCCUUUGUUUAGCAAAGACUUGGCCAAAGACUACAUACGAACCAAGCGCUUUGCUUGACUGCAGAGACGUCAGGGCCAAGAGUGGACAAGGCAUCCUGCCCUUGUGGAAUGAAGGACGGAGGAGUCACUUGCUGGCAAGCUGUUCUGCUUGGAUGAUGCAUGAACCAAGUCAAAGGGGAAAGAGCACUGGACAAAUCUGCAGCCUUCACUCUUCCCAGGAAAUGACCAUGUCACAUGUGUGCACAUGCACACACACAAUGUUGUUGAUGCCUUGUCAAAUUCCCUUAGCAACUAAUCAGUUGUAAGCACUAAGCUUGUUCAGCUCUGCAGUGGGUGCUUCGGUGAAGGCCGCAUUGCUUGUUUUCUGGUAUUGUCAGUGCCUUGCUUCCUGUUCGCAAACACCGCCCCUCCUCUUCUUUUAUGACAGAGAAUUCCACACCACUGUCAUUAUUAUUCUGUAACUGUGAAUAUUAUAACACACUCCAACACUUUGACCAGGAGCAGAUGUUUGAUUCCAUACGUUACUUGGAAGAUUUCUAUAAAUACUGUGGGUUUUAGUGAUUCUUUAUAUUCUAAGUAAGUAACAAGCAUGGUUUUAAGAAUUCAUCAAGUCCUGUUUAUACAUAUGCUUAAUUUUCUAAGGUCAGUACAAAUGACGACUGGUUCCAGUUCUUUCCAAAGCCUAAUACUGAGUCGAGGACAGAAUAGUUUUCUAAAUUUUACUGUUUAUAGUCUUUCAUCAUUUUAAUGGCUAAGUUUGUUGCGUUUAUCCUUUCUUAACCUGAUAAGCGAUGGCCAUUUCUUUCUUGUAUAGAGACUCA